rnacentral:rRNA from 1 species
UGUCUUGUAAAUGGAAUGAUGGUGACCUAAACCCUCACCAGAGUAACAAUUGGAGGGCAAGUCUGGUGCCAGCAGCCGCGGUAAUUCCAGCUCCAAUAGCGUAUAUUAAACUUGUUGCAGUUAAAAAGCUCGUAGUUGAAUUUCUGCGUUAUCGAUUUCGUUGCUUCUGCUUCGUUUCGAUUUCGCUUUUGGGUUUUUCCCUUUUUACUUUGAGAAAAUUAGAGUGUUUCAAGCAGACUUUUGUCUUGAAUACUUCAGCAUGGAAUAAUAGAGUAGGACUUUGGUUCUAUUUUGUUGGUUUACGAACCUUAGUAAUGGGUAAUAGGAACGGUGGGGGGCAAA